UUUUUAUUUUUUAUUUAUUUGUUUAAAUUCUAAAAUUAUUAUUUUAAAAUUCUCUUUUAUAUUAUUUUGUUUUAAAAUUUUGGAUAAUAUUUAUUUUAAAUUACCUUUAUAUUAUAUAUAUAUAUAUAUAUUAUGUUAAAAUUAGCUUUAUUCUAUGUACAUUAUCAAUUCCAUGUUGUUUUAUGUGUAUAUAUAUAUGUAUUUUUAUUUUGUUAACAAAAUCUAUUUAGGUAUAUAUAUUUCUUUUCAAAUCUAUUAUGUAUAUAGUUCAUUCCUUAAAAAAUAUUUUAUUGUAUAUCUUCAUUAUUUAAAAUCCUUUCAUAUAUAUUUUUUUUUACAUAUUUUUAAUUUUUUUCCAUUAUAUGUAUACCAUCAACUUUAAAUAGAUGUUUUGUUUUUAAAAUAUUGUGUACAUUAUUUACUCAAGAUUUUUUUUCCAUAAUAGCUAUUUGAAUAAUCAUUCAUAUAUUAGUAGUUUUUUACAUGUAAAUCAUUUCAAAAUCUAGCAUGUGUAGUUCAUUCGUAAAUUUUCAUAUGUUUGAUAGUUUAUAAAUUGUUUUAUAUUACAUUGACUCCUGAUUUUUAUAUUGUUUUGUAUGUUAUGUGUUGUUUUAGUUUUCAUAUUAUUUCACGUAUUAUUAUUUCAUAUUGUUUAUUAGUCUUUUGUACUAUUAUUUUAAUUUUUGUUCAUCUAUGUUCGAAACUUGUUAUAUUUUAUUCUAAUUUGUUUCUUGGAUGUGAGCUCAUUGCUAUUGUGUGUAUGUUAAUUUGUUCUUUUUUGUUCACUUGUAUAAUAUUUCAUCUAUGUAUAUUGUUCCAUGUUUGUAACUUUGAUUUUUUUAUAUUAUUGCAUCGUGAUUCAAAUUUCAAUGUUUUGAUUGAUAUUGGUCUUCUCGUUUUUAUUUCAAGUGAAUCAACUAAUGCGUUUUGAACCAGCUUUAUAAUUGUUUACCUGAAAAUUUCCCAAAACGAAGGCAAUGUUUGAUGUUUGAAAAUUCGGGAAAUCGUGCCCUAACGUGCUGAGUUUCAAUUUUUCCAUUUUUCCAAAAUAAUCAAAUAUCCUUUUAAAAUUUCAUCCGUGUUUUCUAAAUUUUAAAACAAGGCAAUGUUCUAUGUUUGGAAAUCCGAGAAAUCGUGCCCUAACGUGUUGGGUUUCGGUUUUUUCGUUGGACCAAAUAAUCGAAUAUCCUUUUGUAAUUUUCAAAUGUAUGAGCAUCAAGAAUUGAUCGUGGUUUCGAGGGUAUAAAGGAUCGUGUCCUAACGUGUUGGAUGUGAUACUGUAUUCCUUCGAAACAAAAGAAUUUUAACGUCCAAUUUGAGUCAUUCAAAUGUUUUAAAAGAAAUUGUAUUUCAAAAUAUUUUUUAAAAAAUUUAUGACAUAAGGACAUUAUUUAAUCAAUUUGGUACCAAUUUUGGGCGUAACGGGGGUGCUAACCCUUCCUCGUACGUAACCGACUCCCAAACCCAUCUUCUCAAAUUUUGUAGGCCAAAAUUGAUAUUUUAAUAAAAUUUUUUAUUAGGUGAUCCGAUCACACCUAAACAAAAAAGAUUGAUGGCGACUCCAUAUUUCGUUUUAAAAAGUCGAUUUCCGUUUUUGAAAAAAAUGGUUUCGACAAAACUCUUUAAAAAUAAUUUAUAAACAAUUCAAAAUAUAUAAGGUGUAAAAAGAAUUUCAAAUACAUAAUAUAUGAAAACAUUAAAAUAAAUAAGGUAUAAAAAUUUAAAAUGAGUCGUUAUAUAAAAAGUUAAAAUAGAUAAUAACAAAAAUGUAAAAAUAAAAAAUAAAAAAAUAACAUUUUAAACAUUUUAAACCAAAUUAUAUAUAUACAUAUUUAAAAUAGAUAAAAUAUAUAUGAAUUUCAAAUAAAUAAUAUAUAUAAAAAUAUUUAAUGAAUGAUAUGAAAAACAAAUUAAAAAAAAUAACAAAUAGAAAGUAUAAAAGAGGUUCAAAAUAAAUAGUAAAAAAAAUGAUGUACACAAAAGUUUAAAAAUAAACAGCGUAUAAAAGUUUAUAAUAAUAAAAAAAUAAAAAAUAAAAACAUAUAUUUAAAAUAAAUAAAUAAAGCUACGUCAAAUAAGUAAUGUAUAUAAAAUAAAUCAAAUAAAAUAUAUUAAAUCAAAUUUUUUUUAAGAAAAAAUGAAUAAUAUAAAAUAAUUUACAAUAAUGAAUAAUAUAAAACAAGGAUAAUAAAUAACUUAAAAUAAAAAAAUUUACAAAAAUCGAAAUUUAAAAGAAAAAGGACUCAAAGGAAACAAAAACAAAAUCAAAAAGAUAUUUCCUAAAUAAAUAAACCAUUAAAACAGAAUUAAGGACUAAAAUAUAAUGCGCGCAAACAAGGGAGGAUUUAAAAAGAAAAUAUUCCCAAUUACCAAAACGCAGUGUUUAAUCGCGGAUUAAAACAAAACUGACACGAAAUUCCUGGGAAAAAUUAAAAAAUAAAAGGGAAUGAAUAUGGGCCUAAUCAAAUAGCAACGCAAAUGGGAGGGACUAACUGCGCAAAUAGCCCCUUUCAACAAAACAUGCGGAUCCUCCAUGGUAUCGGAUCGGGUCGCGCAGGUCAAGCCAAAUGGCGCCGUUUUGAUGCUUAUUACCCUAAGCCAAAACGACGUCGUUUUGGUAUUACUAUAUAAGCCAAUGUUUUGUCCAAAAAAUCAUUUGAGCCUUUAUUUUUUUUUAAAAAAAAAAAACCUCAAACCCUCUCAUCAGCUUCUCUUCAACCUCUCCUCCUCCGGCCAAGACUCCGGCGACGGACCACCGCACGCGCCGCCGUCGCCGAAAAAAGGUAAGUUUUUGUUAAAAAAAGAAACAACUAUAUAUAUAAUAGAUUCGAAAGGAAAAAAAAUGAAGAAAAUAAAAUAAAAUAAGACUAAAAGAAUACCCUUGGCCUUUAGAUCUUGCUUCUUGCCUGCUGUUUUUAAACUAUUUGGUGAGUUUUGAACCCGUUUUUUGUAUUCGAAAAAGUAUUCUCGUAUUGCUUUGUAUUCAUGUAAAAAACAUUGUUAUUCGUAGCCUUAUAUAGCCGAAUUACAACUGAAUAUCCGGCCUUUUGCAGGUGCGUAGGUAGACACGCUACUGACGUGGCAUGGUGGAGCGGCGCACGUCACGGAGUAACGUGCGGCGCGCGAGGGAGGCAUGGGGCGUGCGGCAGCUGAAACCCUUAGAUAACUUAGGGUAUUUUUGUUUGUUUGGUUUGGGCUUUUAGAGUUUGGGUUGUUUUGGGCCUAGGUUUGGUUUUAAUUUUAGUGGUUUGGGUUUUUAGUUUGUAUUUAGUUUUUUAAUUUUUGGUGAUUUGAGCCGGACAAUUUUGACCCAUUACAUAUAUAUUUAAUUUACUUUUAUCAAAAUAAUUAGAAAUUCAAAAGCAU
rnacentral:lncRNA from 1 species